CUACGAAGGGGGCUAGCGUUGUUCGGAAUUACUGGGCGUAAAGCGCGCGUAGGCGGACUGAUCAGUUGGGGGUGAAAUCCCAGGGCUUAACCCUGGAACUGCCUCCAAUACUGUCAGUCUUGAGUUCGGGAGAGGUGAGUGGAAUUCCUAGUGUAGAGGUGAAAUUCGUAGAUAUUUGGAAGAACACCAGUGGCGAAGGCGGCUCACUGGCCCGAUACUGACGCUGAGGCGCGAAAGCGUGGGGAGCAAACAGGAUUAGAAACCCUAGUAGUCC
rnacentral:rRNA from 1 species